rnacentral:misc_RNA from 1 species
UAAUAAGUGUCUUAUGGCGCUUUUUAAAUCCAUAUCCACCUUGUGUGCAAUGUCGGUCGAUCUUCUUUUUUUGAGGAUCGACCAAACAUCUACCUUUAUUUUUUAACUCUUUGUCUGAAAAAUAUUAUAAAUAAACAAUUCAAAAUA